rnacentral:rRNA from 1 species
CGGUCCUAAGGUAGCGAAAUUCCUUGUCGGGUAAGUGCCGACCCGCACGAAAGGCGUAACGAUUUGGGCACUGUCUCAACAACAGACUCGGUGAAAUUGUAAUUCCGGUGAAGAUGCCGGAUACCUGCGACAGGACGGAAAGACCCCAUGGAGCUUUACUGUAGCUUGACAUUGGGUCUUGGUACUACAUGUACAGGAUAGGUGGGAGGCUUUGAAACCAGGACGCCAGUUUUGGCGGAGCCAUCCUUGGGAUACCACCCUUGUAG